rnacentral:rRNA from 1 species
CAGUAGCCGCGGUAAUACGUAGGUGGCAAGCGUUGUCCGGAAUUAUUGGGCGUAAUGGGCUCGCAGGCGGUUUCUUAAGUCUGAUGUGAAAGCCCCCGGCUCAACCGGGGAGGGUCAUUGGAAACUGGGAAACUUGAGUGCAGAAGAGGAGAGUGGAAUUCCACGUGUAGCGGUGAAAUGCGUAGAGAUGUGGAGGCACACCAGUGGCGAAGGCGACUCUCUGGUCUGUAACUGACGCUGAGGAGCGAAAGCGUGGGGAGCGAACAGGAUUAGAUACCCCGGUAGUCCCUGUCUCUUAUAC